rnacentral:rRNA from 1 species
GAUGAACGCUGGCGGCGUGCCCAAUACAUGCAAGUCGAGCGAACGGACGAGAAGCUUGCUUCUCUGAUGUUAGCGGCGGACGGGUGAGUAACACGUGGAUAACCUACCUAUAAGACUGGGAUAACUUCGGGAAACCGUAGCUAAUACCGGAUAAUAUUUUGAACCGCAUGGUUCAAAAGUGAAAGACGGUCUUGCUGUCACUUAUAGAUGGAUCCGCGCUGCAUUAGCUAGUUGGUAAGGUAACGGCUUACCAAGGCAACGAUGCAUAGCCGACCUGAGAGGGUGAUCGGCCACACUGGAACUGAGACACGGUCCAGACUCCUACGGGAGGCAGCAGUAGGGAAUCUUCCGCAAUGGGCGAAAGCCUGACGGAGCAACGCCGCGUGAGUGAUGAAGGUCUUCGGAUCGUAAAACUCUGUUAUUAGGGAAGAACAUAUGUGUAAGUAACUGUACACAUCUUGACGGUACCUAAUCAGAAAGCCACGGCUAACUACGUG